CCUCCACCAACAAGCUUCAGUGCACCUGCCCUACCAAGACCCAGGAGGGAGGGCACGAGUCCUUCCCCCGGCACUGCUGAGCAUAGGUGCCAAAUAGGGACCUUGUGUGACGGCGGCCCUCCUCCUCCACCUGUGGACAGCGUAAGGCACAUUUCCUGCUGGCCCACUCCCUCCAGGUGCCUAGGGCUCAGACCCAGUACAGCCAAUGACUGAUCAUUUAGUCUUCAGGCCUCCCCAAGGCCACUCCACGCCCGGAACAACGGGCUUCCCACCCCUGUCUGAUUCCUGAUCGCUGCCUAACUCCUACAGGUCCUUGCAAAACUCAGCUUCCUGCCCCUUGUCCAGGAACAGUCCUGCUUCCCCAGCUCAGUGAGCAUCCACAACACCCCAUAUGAAAGCCUAACACUCUGCUGACUUGUCUCCUGCCCCCCAACUUCCCAGCCUCGAUGACGUUUGAGCAAAGAACUCAUUCUCAUUCCUCCGUGAUCCCACAGCUCUGGGCCCAGCAUCUGGUCCAUAAGAAAUGGUAGUUGAAGACGAAUCAUCAACCUAAAUGUGAAGCCCAAAUAGAACUAGAAAAAUACCCGAGGCAAACAGGAGAAAAUCUUUGUGAUCUUGAGUUUGGCAAAGAUCUCUUACAUGGACCAAAAGCAUGGUCCAUAAGAUAGAACAUUUAAAAAAAAAAAAAAAAAAAAAAAAAAAAAAACACUGAUAAGUUAGACUACACUGCAAUUUAAAACUUCUCUUCAAAAGACAUUAUCAAGGACAUAAAAAGACAAGCCACAGAUUGGAAGAAAAGCAUCUGGAAAACACGAAACUGGUAAAGGGCUUGCUUCCUGACUUUAUACAGAAUUCACCCAACUCAACGGCAACUCCGUAACUCAACUCCGUAAAAGAUGGUCAAAGAUUCAACACUUUGCCAACGAGGAUAUUCUCGGGAUGGCAAACGAGCACAUGAAAAGAUGCUCCACGUCAUUAGUCGUGAAGUAAAUGCAAAUUGAAACCACAAGGAGAUACUACUACACGCCUAGGAGAAUGGCUAGAAAAUAAAAUAAAAUAAAACAAUAUCGAGUGCAGGGAUUUGGAGCAACGGGAACUCUCACUCAUUGCCGGUGGAAACGCCAAAACAGAAUAGAAUCUUUGCACAACAGUGCAGCUGUUUCUUAUAAAAUUGAACCUGCGCUAAUACAACCCAGUAAUCCCACUCCUCAGCAUUUAUCCAAGAGAAAUGGACACUCGAGUUCACAUAAACGUUUGUAAUGGGAAUGUUUGUAACAGCGUGAUUCAUAGGCUUGGUUCAUAAGAGCGAAAACUUGAAACCACCGGACUGUCCUUUGAUGGUGAGUGGAUAUCACUGUGGUAUGUCCACGUGCUGAAUGACGUGCAAAAACAACGCAUGAAUUUUAAGUGCAUUGUGCUAAGUGAAAGAGGCCAAACUGAAAAGGCUACACAUUAUAGGAUUCCAUUUAUAUGACAUUCUGAAAAAGGCAAGACCAUAAGGACAGAAAACAGAGCAGUGGUUACCAGGGCUUGGGACCUCAGCCUACAUUCCUCUCCAGCUAGUUGCUCAUCUGUAGCCUUUAUGACAUCUUUUAUAAGAAACCGGUGGAAGUAUAUAAAUGUUUUUCUGAGUUC